AUGUAUAUGCCUACAAAAUUAAUGCAGCAAAUCCCAUCAAAACUCCACAGUUAAGCACGCUUGGGCUAGAGUAGUACUAGGAUGGGUGGCCUCUCGGGAAGUUCUAGUGUCUUACAUG
rnacentral:rRNA from 1 species